CUCAGGAUGAACGCUGGCGGCGUGCUUAACACAUAGCAAGUCGAACGAAGCACUGAAGAAUGGAGAUUCGUCAAAGUCUCUUGACUGAGUGGCGAACGGGUGAGUAAUGCGUGAGCAACCUGCCCUUCAGAGGGGGACAACAGUUGGAAACGACUGCUAAUACCGCAUGACGUGUUCGGAUGGCAUCAUCUGAAUACCAAAGGAGAAAUCCGCUGAAGGAUGGGCUCACGUCUGAUUAGCUAGUUGGCGGGGCAACGGCCCACCAAGGCGACGAUCAGUAGCCGGACUGAGAGGUUGAACGGCCACAUUGGGACUGAGAUACGGCCCAGACUCCUACGGGAGGCAGCAGUGGGGAAUAUUGGGCAAUGGGCGAAAGCCUGACCCAGCAACGCCGCGUGAAGGAAGAAGGCCUUCGGGUUGUAAACUUCUUUUAACAGGGACGAAGAAGUGACGGUACCUGUUGAAUAAGCCACGGCUAACUACGUGCCAGCAGCCGC
rnacentral:rRNA from 1 species